GAUCAUGGCUCAGAGUGAACGCUGGCGGCAGGCCUAAUACAUGCAAGUCGAACGGCAGCACAGCAGAGCUUGCUCUGUGGGUGGCGAGUGGCGGACGGGUGAGGAAUACAUGGGAAUCUGCCCAGUCGUGGGGGAUAACGUAGGGAAACUUACGCUAAUACCGCAUGCGCCCUUCGGGGGAAAGCCGGGGACCGUAAGGCCUGGCGCGAUUGGAUGAGCCCAUGUCGGAUUAGCUAGUUGGCGGGGUAAAGGCCCACCAAGGCGACGAUCCGUAGCUGGUCUGAGAGGAUGAUCAGCCACACUGGAACUGAGACACGGUCCAGACUCCUACGGGAGGCAGCAGUAGGGAAUAUUGGACAAUGGGCGCAAGCCUGAUCCAGCCAUGCCGCGUGAGUGAAGAAGGCCCUCGGGUUGUAAAGCUCUUUUGUCCGGAAAGAAAAGCGCCGGGUUAAUACCCUGGUGUCCUGACGGUACCGGAAGAAUAAGCACCGGCUAACUUCGUG
rnacentral:rRNA from 1 species